GACGAACGCUGGCGGCGUGCUUAACACAUGCCAGUCGAACGGAAAGGCCUGCUUUCCCUUGUGGAUUGCGGGUACUCGAGUGGCGAACGGGUGAGUAACACGUGAGUGAUCUGCCCCCAACUUGGGUAUAAGCCUGGGAAACUGGGUCUAAUUCCCGAUAGGACUGCAGGGUGGUGCCUGUGAUGGAAAACGAUUUUCUAGUGGUUGGGGAUGAGCUCGCGGCCUAUCAGCUUGUUGGUGGGGUAAUGGCCUACCAAGGCGGCGACGGGUAGCCGGCCUGAGAGGGUGGACGGCCACAUUGGGACUGAGAUACGGCCCAGACUCCUACGGGAGGCAGCAGUGGGGAAUAUUGCACAAUGGGCGGAAGCCUGAUGCAGCGACGCCGCGUGGGGGAUGACGGCCUUCGGGUUGUAAACUCCUUUCGACCGCGAGGAAGCCACCUGGUUGGAAGGGUGGUGACGGUAGUGGUAGAAGAAGCACCGGCUAACUACGUG
rnacentral:rRNA from 1 species